UGGGGAAUCUUGCACAAUGGGGGAAACCCUGAUGCAGCGACGCCGCGUGAGCGAUGAAGGUUUUCGAAUCGUAAAGCUCUGUCCUAUGGGAAGAUAAUGACGGUACCAUGGGAGGAAGCCCCGGCUAACUACGUGCCAGCAGCCGCGGUAAUACGUAGGGGGCGAGCGUUGUCCGGAAUUACUGGGCGUAAAGGGUUCGCAGGCGGCAUGGCAAGUCCGAUGUAAAAUGUGAAGGCUCAACCUACGUAAGCAUCGAAAACUGUCAAGCUUGAGUGAAGGAGAGGCAAGUGGAAUUCCUAGUGUAGCGGUGGAAUGCGUAGAUAUUAGGAGGAAUACCGGUGGCGAAGGCGACUUGCUGGACUUCAACUGACGCUGAGGAACGAAAGCGUGGGUAGCAAACAGG
rnacentral:rRNA from 1 species